rnacentral:rRNA from 1 species
AAAAACAUUUCCUCUUGGUAUAAGAGGUAAGGCCUGCUCACUGACUAGGUUGAAGAGCCGCAGUAUAUUGACUGUGCUAAGGUAGCAUAAUCAUUAGUCCUUUAAUUGGGGACUGGUAUGAAUGGCUAAACGAGAAAUUAACUUUUUUUGUUAUGGUUUGUUGAAUUUAACUUGUAAGUGAAAAGGCUUACAUGAUUCAGAAAGACGAGAAGACCCUAUAGAGUUUUACAAAGGCCUAAAAUACAGCUUAUUAGUUUUUAAGGGUUAUAUUUUGGAAAUUUGUUUGGUUGGGGCGACAUAAAGAUAAAAAAAACUCUUUGUAGUAUAAACUUUGGUGGAAGAAAAGGUUUGAUCCUCUAAAAGGGAUUAUAAGAAAAAAUUACCUUAGGGAUAACAGCGUAAUCUUCUUUUAGAGUUCAAAUCGACAAGAAGGUUUGCGACCUCGAUGUUGGACUAAAAUUUGGGCAAGGUGCAGCAGCUUUGUUUUUGGGUCUGUUCGACCCGUAAUAUUUUACAUGAUCUGAGUU